CGGCGUGGAUAAGACAUGGAAGUCGAGCGCGACUUAUUUGAUUAGCAAUAAUUAGAUAAGAAGAGUGGCGAAAGGGUGCGUAACACGUGGGAAUUUACCAAAAAGUGGGGAAUAGCUUGGCGAAAGCCAAAUUAAUACCGCAUGUGAUCGAAAGAUCAAAGUCGGGGACCGCAAGGCCUGACGCUUUUUGAGAAGCCCGCGGCCCAUCAGCUAGUUGGCGAGGUAAAAGCUCACCAAGGCUAUGACGGGUAGCUGGUCUGAGAGGACGACCACCCACACUGGAACUGAGACACGGUCCAGACACCUACGGGUGGCAGCAGUCGAGAAUUUUUCUCAAUGGACGAAAGUCUGAUGGAAAGACGCCGCGUGGAGGAUGAAGGUUUUCGGAUUGUAUAAAAGGGUCUCUGCAGAACAAGGGUGCGCAUU
rnacentral:rRNA from 1 species